GCGUUUGCAUCCUUACGCCCAGUCACCUAUAUAGAAGGGGCUCGCAAGAGCUAUGGCGAUAAACUGUCAUUGUAAUAAACCCAUCGGACCCGGGGGCAGUACCCGGCGUCUCCACCAUCUCCCCUCUUUAUGAGGUGAGCCAAUGGGGACGAAACAGGAUCGACGAGGGCGUAAAGAGUGUGCUUUCGCUCGGCAUGGUACCACCGUUAUCGGACUAAAACUUAUAGUUGCAAAUGACAACAAUAAGGCUCCAGUAGCUCUCGCAGCGUAAGCUGCGCGACAUCUGGGAAAUAAGUCCUCCGCCCCUAGCCGGGCGAUAGGCGGGGUUCGCAGGCACCUGGCAACAGAAGCCUGCACU
rnacentral:tmRNA from 2 species